rnacentral:RNase_P_RNA from 1 species
CCAGACGGCUGGGCGGUCGCGGCAGGGUUCGCCCCUGUCGAGGAAAGUCCGGGCUCCACGGUGAAAAGGCGGCGGAUAACUUCCGCCCGGGGUGACCCGAGGGAUAGCGCCACAGAAAGCAAACCUCCGGCCUUGCGAGGCCGGUAAGGGUGAAAGGGUGGGGUAAGAGCCCACCGCGUAGGCGGCAACGUCGACGGCAUGGCAAGCCCCGCCUGGAGCAAGACCAAAUAGGGACAUCGCGCGGGUUCGCUCGCGGGGUUCACCGCCUCAGAUGUCCGGGUAGGUCGCGAGAACCGAUCAGCAAUGGUCGGUCCAGAGGAAUGAUCGUCGCCGCUUUUCGGAGCGGAACAAAACCCGGCUUACAGGCCGUCUGGCAUA